rnacentral:rRNA from 1 species
UCAGACAAAACGAGUCACGGCACACAGCUCAGUAACACGUGGCUAAUCUGCCCUUGGGACUAGAACAACCCCGGGAAACUGGGGCUAAAUCUAGAUAGGUGAAGAACUCUGGAGUGAGUCUUUGCCUAAAUAGGUUCACGUUAUCCUCGUGAACUUGCCCAAGGAUGAGGCCGCGACCGAUCAGGUUGUUGGCGAGGUAAUGGCUCACCAAGCCUUUUACCGGUGCGGGCCGUGGGAGCGGGAGCCCGGAGAUGGGUACUGAGACAAGGACCCAGGCCCUACGGGGCGCAGCAGUCGCGAAACCUUUGCAAUACACGAAAGUGUGACAGGGCUAUCCCGAGUGCCAUCCGCUGAGGAAGGCUUUACCCAGUCUAGAACGCUGGGGGAAUAAGGAGAGGGCAAGUCUGGUGUCAGCCGCCGCGGUAAUACCAGCUCUCCGAGUGGUGUGGAUGUUUAUUGGGCCUAAAGCAUCCGUAGCUGGCUAGGUAAGUCCCUUGUUAAAUCCACCGAAUUAAUCGUUGGAUCGCGGGGGAUACUGCUUGGCUAGGGGACGAGAGAGGCAGACGGUAUUCUCGGGGUAGGGGUGAAAUCCUAUAAUCCCGGGAAGACCACCAGUGGCGAAGGCUGUCUGCUAGAACGCACCCGACGGUGAGGGAUGAAAGCUGGGGGAGCGAACCGGAUUAGAUACCCGGGUAGUCCCAGCUGUAAACGAUGCAGACUAGGUGUUUGAACGGCCACGUGCCGUUCUAGUGCCGCAGGGAAGCUGUUAAGUCUGCCGCCUGGGGAGUACGAUCGCAAGAUUGAAACUUAA